CUUGGGGACGAUGGAGACGUUCCCUCCAUGUGGCCAACAUCUACGGGACUAUGGGAUUCUACUAAACUGCAGUGUUCCCCACAGAGGAGUCGUGAUUCAGAAGGAAGCCAAAACCGCCAGUUAAACACCAUUAUGGCUGCUUGUGUUUAACCGCCAUCGCACAAACAGCCUUGAGGAGAAUUCAACAGCCUACUCAGAGCACUCUUCUUGGCUUAUUUCCUCGCAAAGGCCUUCAGAAGAAACCAAGACUCUAUUUCAUCUUUUCUCACAGGCCAGUUAUAUACCGUUUUGGCUGCUUGUCUUUAACUGCCAUCUCACAAACAGCCUUGAGGAGAAUUCAACAGCCUACUCAGAGCUUCCCCUGUCACAGACUUGGAGGUAGAUCAGUCUGUGUUUGAAAUUCCCGAAUCUUACCACGUUCAAGACAAUGGCAGAAACGUGCAGUUGCAAGAUGGAGAAUCGGAGAUAAUGCAGUUUGCCAUCCAGCAGAGCCUGCUGGAGUCCGGCAGCAGCCAGGCCGAUCAUCAUAGUGUGGUUCUGUAGUGAGUAUGUGAUGAAAUCAGCAGUA